rnacentral:lncRNA from 10 species
GGAUUUUAGCAGUCCCUUCAUUAAGCCUGGAGAACAAAGGCGGGCGGGUGAGGGUCUCCGAAUGUCCAAACACCCUGUCACCCGGAGUGUGAGGCUGCGGCUGCCCCGGGGAGGGCCAGGCGCUGUUUACAGAUGGGAGGAGAUACCCCAAGUCUCCUCACUCCCAGUCCAUGAGGGCUCAGCUCUUGUCAGGCACUCCCUAAUCCCGGACAGUCAUUCUAUAGUAAGGGCCAACUUUGCAUUUAACACCGAGAAAGAAUCUCCUCUGCCCUGAAGAUCACGGUGGUCCUAUUUCCUCCCAAAAGAUGGACAGGUGUUGUUUACAAUUCAGUAUUCAGAAGUGAACUGAAAUGCAAGAGCUGGCAAAGCUUGCUCUGAGAAGGGAGGUCCCCGUGCCUGAAGUUGGGUGUCCAUGAGCUGGUGAAGGACUCAGUGUAGAUAUGACAGAGGGUAUGUCAGAGCCAGGCAGGGGGCUGGAGUCUAUGACAUCAAAGUCCUUUUCAAUCUUUGUAGGAAGACUUCUUUCCUUCCCAGGCCCUGUCCUUAGCACAAAUUUGGGGACUUACGUGGGAUGGUGUCUUGCAGGGACAGUGAUACAUGUCAGAGCCAGCCAUGGCGUUUUCUCCCUGUGCUGGGCAGCCGGCCGCCAGCACGCUCCAUGGCUUCGCAUCCUCCCAUAGUCAGAGAGUCUCUACCCAUGACCCUGGGACACACAGAUCUCCUUUCCUAGGUUGAAGGCACCCAACCUCCUCAUUAUAACAGUGCCCUCUCUUUGCUUGUCCAAACCUACUGCUACUUCAAGUCAGCCACUGUGAUGCUUCCUGCAGGAAGCUCUUCCUGGUGUCCCCAGCUCUUCCUGACACCUGUCUUCUGAGAGCUUCUGGUGCCUGUCUGCCAGAGCUCCCCAUGUGGCUGCGGGAACCCCUGUAGAGUCCAAGCCAUCACCUCCCACCACAUGCCACAGCUCAUGAGGGAGUUCCCAGCCAAUGUAGCCCUGUUGUGGCUCCCAGAGUGGCUUUCCCUGGCACAGAAUGCCCUCAUCAUUCCCCUGCAGAGUUCCUUGGUGCCUCUAGCACCAGCAGGCAAGCCAGUCUCUUUAGCUGGGCAGCUAAGGAAUUGGAUUUGUUCUGUUUACCUCCCCAGCCUCACUUGCAGUCACUCUUCUGUACGCUGGUCACACAGACUGACAUGUCCCAUGGCGGAGCAGCCGUUUCCAGCUCCACUCCAUGGCAUGGGUGGUCUUGAAAGAUACCUCCAAGAUCAGUCCUCAGGCGACCUGCCCGACCAGGCUCCCAGGUGACCUGGAUGGUCUGAGACACCAGGAGUAAAAGGGCUGUGGAAAUCAUAAUGUGCUGGAUGGCUGGGAGGGGACUGCUGGGAGGGGAUGGCUGGUGACCACUGUCUUGUUUUUUAAGCCUCAUGUCCACCCUGCACUGUUAUGGGGAUUAGCUUAGUUGUGGCAUUAUCAGAUUCAAGUUCGUUUGCAGGGGUCUCCAAGGCCUAUGCUCAUCUCUUCCAUUCUCAGAAGAAGGUGGGACGGCCCCGCACAAUGGGAAGUGACUUGCAGG